GACGAACGCUGGCGGCGUGCUUAACACAUGCAAGUCGAACGAAGUGGCGCACGGGUGAGUAACGCGUAAUCAACCUGCCCUUCAGGGGGGGACACCAGUUGGAAACGACUGCUAACACCGCCUACUGAAGGAGGGGAUUGCGUCUGAUUAGCUAGUUGGAGGGGUAACGGCCCACCAAGGCGAUGAUCAGUAGCCGGUCUGAGAGGAUGAACGGCCUCAUUGGGACUGAGACACGGCCCAGACUCCUACGGGAGGCAGCAGUGGGGAAUCUUCCGCAAUGGACGAAAGUCUGACGGAGCAACGCCGCGUGAGUGAUGACGGCCUUCGGGUUGUAAAGCUCUGUUAAUCGGGACGCGGUACCGGAAUAGAAAGCCACGGCUAACUACGUGCCAGCAGCCGCGGUAAUUC
rnacentral:rRNA from 1 species